CUCAUUCUUUUUCAUCUUUUGAGCAUAAAUCAUUAAAGUCUCCCGAACAAAGUCACGGAAGAGAGCUUCUACGAGAUAAAGCUCGAAUAAGGUUCCAAGACUGACGUCAUCGUUGCGAUUCCGGAAACCCAUAAUAACUAAUAAACCUCCAUUGAACAUUACCUUCCGAAACAACCGAAUCAAUAAAAUUUGAAGAAAAGCCAACCACAGAAACAGACACAUGACUCUUCUAUAUUAACGAAAGGCCUCCUCCCAAUCCUUGUCUAUUGACUGAGAAGCAACCAUCAAAAUGUAAAAAAUUACGAAAAAAUUCCAUAUGAGAACUAAUAGCUUUUGUUUCCAUAAAAAAUAAAAUGUCCGCUUGUAACUAUGAACCAAAUCCUUCAAUACAAUAACUGUCCGAUGAUUGUCACCAUAAAUCUGCCAAAAAGGUCUGCAUAUUCUGAAAAUUGAUUGAAUUAUAUGUGAGAAACAUCCUCACUUCGAAAUAUCUCUGAAACUCUUAAUAAGGACAACAACAUUUUUUUAUUUAUCAAUAAUCAAUUGACGCAGAUCGUUUUUCAUGGGAAAGGGAAAAGAAAAAGAAAAAGUUAAAUUUAAAGAAGAAAAAAAAUCGAGAGUAUCGAGUCAUAAAUCGAAAAUUCUUUAUAUUAGUUCAUUAGUUUCAACUAUUAUGGAGGUGUGUUUUCAAAUUUAGCUAUGUCUUUCAAUAAAUUAAUUAUUGUACAAAUACAGUAGCUAAAUUUUAUCCUAAGAAGGACCUUGCCUCUUACGGUACACAAGAAUUAGUAUGUUUUUUGGGAAGUGUUUAUUUUUAGGGCAGAAUGUGGUCAUGUAAUAAAAUAUUUAUUACCAGUAAAAAAAAACAAAAGAAAGAAUAAAACAUGAAAAAAAGUACAAUUACUAGAAAAGUUACAUAUAAAUUCUAAAUUAUUGGAUCAAUGAGCAUGACAAGGACAAAGAGACAAUAGAGUGGAAAUGGGUUUGCCUUUGAGUGAAAUACUUCUUACAGGUUUAUUGCUCACAUUGUAAAAGCAAAAUUAUCCAAGGAUAAAAAGCAUACAUGGCCAAAUAAUGGAACAUAAAAAGUAAUGGGUACCUCCAUGGUUAUUAGCAACCGCAAUUAUAGGCGCCGGCUUCUAUACCACAUCACAGUUGAACGGAAAAACAUCCCGUGAAAGAAGGAUAGAGAAUUCUGAACAACCACCGGACAUAGAACUGGAGCAAAAGAAAAUACCAGUAUGUUGUAGCUGGGAAGUCAAAA
rnacentral:lncRNA from 1 species